GAGAAGAAUACUACUUACUUGUCCCAAGCUACCAAAGCCAGUCAUUCUAUAAGGCAUAGACUCUACUGAGGAGGAUCGACUGUAUAAGGAUGGCAAGAAAUUUCUUCAGUUCUCCAUUCUCUUUCCUUAAGACUGACAACUCUCUAGGCAAAAGAUGGAACAAUCAGCUCCAGCAGUGUGAAUCAGCUGUAUCUGAUUUCUCAGAAGAAGUAGUUUUUCAUACAGGGAAGUAGAAGAGGAAAGCUGUACAGUGAGGAGGGCCGCUAGUGGGAAGAAAGAGAAAAAUAAAAUGGAGAUUGAUAAAACUUCAAAAAUUGGGGACCUGAUUUUCCCAAGACAAAUACACAUGGAACAAUUUUCAGACUUUGCAACCACAAGGAAAUAAGAAGCACAGCUCCACUGAAAGAAAAAGGAAAUUAUCUGGGGAUUUCAU